UGCUGUGAUGAGUACUGCUUUCUUCUGACACCUCUUGUAUGAGAAGGCUUCUUAAAGAAGCCCUUCGCUGAGCAGAGUAGCAACUCUCUGAGCU
rnacentral:snoRNA from 1 species